rnacentral:rRNA from 1 species
CGCGAUAGGUCACUACUUCUGGAAUGGGUAAUGACUCAAACCUAUAUGGCCCCUGGAUUGGACUGCGGCCGAUCAGGCUGUUGGUGAGGUAAUGGCCCACCAAACCUGUAACCGGUACGGGCUCUGAGAGGAGGAGCCCGGAGAUGGGCACUGAGACAAGGGCCCAGGCCCUAUGGGGCGCAGCAGGCGCGAAACCUCUGCAAUAGGCGAAAGCCUGACAGGGUUACUCUGAGUGAUCUCCGUUAAGGAGAUCUUUUGGCACCUCUAAAAAUGGUGCAGAAUAAGGGGUGGGCAAGUCUGGUGUCAGCCGCCGCGGUAAUACCAGCACCCCGAGUGGUCGGGACGUUUAUUGGGCCUAAAGCAUCCGUAGCCGGUUCUACAAGUCUUCCGUUAAAUCCAGCUGCUUAACAGAUGGGCUGCGGAAGAUACUAUGGAGCUAGGAGGCGGGAGAGGCAAGCGGUACUCGAUGGGUAGGGGUAAAAUCCGUUGAUCCAUUGAAGACCACCAGUGGCGAAGGCGGCUUGCCAGAACGCGCUCGACGGUGAGGGAUGAAAGCUGGGGGAGCAAACCGGAUUAGAUACCCGGGUAGUCCCAGCUGUAAACGAUGCAGACUCGGUGAUGAGUUGGCUACAUGCCAUCUCAGUGCCGCAGGAAAGCCGUUAAGUUUGCCGCC